rnacentral:snRNA from 2 species
AUCGCUUCUCGGCCUUUUGGCUAAGAUCAAGUGUAGUAUCUGUUCUUAUCAGUUUUCACUGCCUUCUGAAAAUUUUGCUUCUGUUUCAUUUCCAGGAGCAUCUCAGUAGAGGAAUUCUAAAACUGAUGUCUAUGUUACUUUGGGGGACUUUUGUCAUGCAAACAGGGAAGCUUCCAGCAAUCCUGAGAAGUACUGCAUAUACUUG